AGGGAAUUCUCUGUGUUAUUCACUGAUUAAAGCCUUCGAGUUCACUUUUAUUUAACUCACAAGUCCUACACUUAAAGGAUAGAUCUACAAGGGGAGAGACCACCGAGUUUUCUCCUAUAUCUUCUGCUCAUUCUUCAAAAUUCGUAGUAGCUGAAUCAACACAUCCCUGUAUGCUGAUUUCUUUUUUCUUGGUGCUGAGAGGAGAAUUAAUGGGCUCCAAAGGGAGCUGCCUCUAGUGCUCUGAUUUGAAUUCUUCAAUGUUAUGAGGACAAACAGACUUUGAAAGAAGAAAUGAUUCAACGUAUCAGAUACAGUAAUGAAGACAAUAAGAAAUUGGAUUGAUCCAGGUCUGGAGUUUUGCCACAGAGUGAAAUGGAACAACAAUAUGCAGGAGAAGUGAGGAUACUGAAUUCUACUUGAAAAUUAUACAGAAACAAUUUCUUAGAAUGCUCACAAAAGACCUGAAAACAUGGGGAGGAAGCAGGGCAUUUACAGGUCUUCUCUGACACUGUGCUGGUGGGCAGGGAGCCACCUCAUUACUACCAGGCACAGCUUAUAACUCAUGCAAAACAACAUGCUGCAAUGUUCUGAUGAAAUGCUCCUCUACAGUCGAGGCUCCCAGAAGGCAGAGAGCAUAUUCAUUAACUCAUUCUGCUCAACACUUAGCUCAUGUCCAUGGAGAGAUGUUGAAUAUGAGCUCCUAUUAAAAAGAGGGAAUACAAUCAAUCAUUUGAGAAUGUCCAAAAAGAACUUUUCCUUUCCAUCGAGCCUUACAAAUUAUUCUAAGAUUGUUUCUGUAAAUACCAUGUAAUUGGGAGAGAUACACAGGGAGCGUCAAUUGUGUCUGUAAUGUUUUACUGCUUAUGAUAAAAAGAUCUGAAACUAAUGUGACAAAAUACUAAGAUUUCACAGAAUUCAGUGUUGAGUGUCCUCUAAGUUAUUAUCUUUAUUCUUCAAAUAUUUCAUAAGGAAAAAGAUGGUGGGAACUUACAAUAUUUAUUAUUUUUUUGGAGAAUGGCUGGAUAAUAUACAUUGAAAUCUGCUAAGAAUUUACCAGAAGGAAGGAAAGAGAAACACACACACACACACACACACACACAGAGAGAGAGACAGAGAGAGAGAGAGAGGAAAAAAAAAUAUAUCCUUGGAAUGCCAAGCCCAAAGAUGCAAGUCUAUCUGCCGAUUUAUAAAAGCAAAUAAAGAGAAACCAUCUAA
rnacentral:lncRNA from 1 species